GAAUAAAGACUGUUGUUAUCUCCUGGUUACAGUUGAAUAUGACACCAAAGUUUAUCCAGGUCCACCAUAUUAUGUAUCAGGUGCAGAGUUAGAAAAAUUGCUUGGUUUAUCGUGCAGUUUCAAAAUUCUGAAGACGGCUGAUACCCUUACUGACAGGCAUAGAAAAUUGGGAAUGGAUUUUUUUGAGACAAAACUAUAUCACAUAACCCCAAAAGCGGAUUCCUAAGCACUGAACAAAAUC